UACAUAUUUAUAGAAAAUGAUAAAUAAGGCACAAGGACUGACAAACUCAAAAUAGAUUUCAACAAGGUUAAAGUUUUUCAGACAUCAAUAACUUUUUUUUUAACCUUCAUGGAAUUUUACAAAACUUUUUUAUGAUCAAAAGUCAGUAUCUAGAGCAAGUUUUGAAAAUAUUUUUUUUUCAUUUUCUAUAAAUUUUACUGAUAAAUAGACAAGUUUUUAUGCCCCUGCUGUUAAGUUUUACCCUUGUCCCUCUGUACGUACGUACGUACGUCCGUUCGUCCCAAAAUUGGUUUCCGUUCUCUAACUUGAGUUUGCCUCAACAAAAUGUUAUGAAGCUUAUACACAAUAGUUAUUCCCACAAAAUACAGAUCAAGUUUGAAUUUUGGUAGCGUCACUCUAACCAUUCUA
rnacentral:lncRNA from 1 species